AAAGUCGUAACAAGGUUUCCGUAGGUGAACCUGCGGAAGGAUCAUUAAAAAAUUAAAACAUAAGGGCCUACUCUCGCAAGAGGGGAAAGCUCAUAUGAACCUUGUGUGCACUGUUAUAACGUCUUUGACGUUCAGAAGUUUUCCGGUGGUUUAAAGUUGAUAUCUCCUUGGAGGUAUUAACCCGCCGGGAAGUGGAGAACUGUCACUUAUAUUAAACCCUGUUUAUUAGCCUUGACUGAAGUUAAAUCUAUCAAUUCAUUUUGGUAGAAGAAAUUGUAAAAUUAAAUACAACUUUCAACAACGGAUCUCUUGGCUCUC
rnacentral:misc_RNA from 1 species